AUUGAACGCUGGCGGCAUGCCUUACACAUGCAAGUCGAACGGCAGCACGGGUGCUUGCACCUGGUGGCGAGUGGUGAACGGGUGAGUAAUACAUCGGAACGUACCUUAUCGUGGGGGAUAACGCAGCGAAAGCUGUGCUAAUACCGCAUACGCCCUGAGGGGGAAAGCGGGGGAUCGAAAGACCUCGCGCGAUUUGAGCGGCCGAUGCCUGAUUAGCUUGUUGGUGGGGUAAAAGCCCACCAAGGCGACGAUCAGUAGCUGGUCUGAGAGGACGAUCAGCCACACUGGGACUGAGACACGGCCCAGACUCCUACGGGAGGCAGCAGUGGGGAAUUUUGGACAAUGGGGGCAACCCUGAUCCAGCAAUGCCGCGUGAGUGAAGAAGGCCUUCGGGUUGUAAAGCUCUUUUGUCAGGGAAGAAACACCGGCUCUAACACAGUCCGGGAAUGACGGUACCUGAAGAAUAAGCACCGGCUAACUACGUGCCAGCAGCCGCAGUAA
rnacentral:rRNA from 1 species